UACGUAGGGUGCGAGCGUUGUCCGGAAUUAUUGGGCGUAAAGGGCUCGUAGGCGGUUUGUCGCGUCGGGAGUGAAAUCCACUGGCUUAACUGGUGGCUUGCUUUCGAUACGGGCAGACUGGAGGUAUGCAGGGGAGAACGGAAUUCCUGGUGUAGCGGUGAAAUGCGCAGAUAUCUGGAGGAACACCGGUGGCGAAGGCGGCAUCCUGGACCAAUUCUGACACUGAGGAGCGAAAGCCAGGGGAGCAAACGGG
rnacentral:rRNA from 1 species